rnacentral:rRNA from 1 species
GACGAACGCUGGCGGCGUGCUUAACACAUGCAAGUCGUACGGUAAGGCCCUUUCGGGGGUACACGAGUGGCGAACGGGUGCGUAACACGUGCGUAACCUGCCCACAACUUUGGGAUAACGCUAGGAAACUGGUGCUAAUACUGGAUAUGUGCUCCUGCUGCAUGGUGGGGGUUGGAAAGCUCCGGCGGUUGUGGAUGGACUCGCGGCCUAUCAGCUUGUUGGUGGGGUAGUGGCCUACCAAGGCGGCGACGGGUAGCCGGCCUGAGAGGGUGACCGGCCACAUUGGGACUGAGAGACGGCCCAGACUCCUACGGGAGGCAGCAGUGGGGAAUAUUGCACAAUGGGCGCAAGCCUGAUGCAGCAGCGCCGCGUGCGGGAUGACGGCCUUCGGGUUGUAAACCGAUUUCAGCAGGGACGAAGCUUUUUGUGACGGUACCUGCAGAAGAAGCACCGGCUAACUACGUG